GUCGAACGAUGAAGCUUAAAUGAUCUCUUCGGAGUGACCUUAAGUGGAUUAGUGGCGGACGGGUGAGUAACGCGUGAGUAACCUGCCUUGCACAAGGGGAUAGCCGUUGGAAACGACGAAUAAUACCCUAUGAUAUGAUAGUCUCGCAUGAAGCUAUCAUCAAAGAUUUAUCGGUGUAAGAUGGACUCGCGUCUGAUUAGCUAGUUGGUGGGGUAAAAGCCUACCAAGGCAACGAUCAGUAGCCGGCUUGAGAGAGUGUACGGCCACAUUGGGACUGAGACACGGCCCAGACUCCUACGGGAGGCAGCAGUGGGGAAUUUUGCACAAUGGGGGAAACCCUGAUGCAGCGACGCCGCGUGAUUUAGAAGGCCUUCGGGUUGUAAAAAUCUUUUGUAUGGGAAGAAAAUGACAGUACCAUACGAAUAAGGACCGGCUAAUUACGUGCCAGCAGCCGCGGUAAUACGUAAGGUCCGAGCGUUGUCCGGAAUCAUUGGGCGUAAAGGGUACGUAGGCGGAUAAGCAAGUUAGAAGUGAAAUCCUAUAGCUCAACUAUAGUAAGCUUUUAAAACUGCUCAUCUUGAGGUAUGGAAGGGAAAGUGGAAUUCCUAGUGUAGCGGUGAAAUGCGCAGAUAUUAGGAGGAAUACCGGUGGCGAAGGCGACUUUCUGGCCAUAAACUGACGCUGAGGUACGAAAGCGUGG
rnacentral:rRNA from 1 species